AGAGUUUGAUCAUGGCUCAGGAUGAACGCUAGCGGCAGGCUUAACACAUGCAAGUCGAGGGGCAGCGGGGUGUAGCAAUACACUGCCGGCGACCGGCGCACGGGUGCGUAACGCGUAUGCAACCUACCCGUAACAGGGGUAUAACGGAGGGAAACUUCCACUAAUCCCCCAUAUUGUUGGAGAUUCGCAUGUUUCUCCAACGAAAGGUUUUUCUGGUUACGGAUGGGCAUGCGUGACAUUAGCUAGUUGGUGGGGCAACGGCCCACCAAGGCGACGAUGUCUAGGGGAGCUGAGAGGCUUAUCCCCCACACUGGUACUGGGACACGGACCAGACUCCUACGGGAGGCAGCAGUGAGGAAUAUUGGUCAAUGGAGGGAACUCUGAACCAGCCAUGCCCGCGUGGAGGAAGAAGGUCCUAUGGGUUGUAAACUCCUUUUGUUCCAGAGUAAUAAGGGCUUUGCGAAGUCCGAUGAGAGUAUGGGACGAAUAAGCAUCGGCUAACUCCGUGCCAGCCGCCGC
rnacentral:rRNA from 1 species